AGUUUGAUCAUGGCUCAGGAUGAACGCUAGCGGGAGGCUUAACGCAUGCAAGUCGAGGGGUAUAAGUAGCAAUAUUUAGAGACCGGCGCACGGGUGAGUAACGCGUAUGCAACCUGCCCUUUACAGGGGGAUAGCCCGUAGAAAUGCGGAUUAAUACCCCAUAGUACUAUUAGAUCGCAUGGCUUGAUAGUUAAAGUUUCGGCGGUAAAGGAUGGGCAUGCGUGACAUUAGCUAGUUGGAGAGGUAACGGCUCACCAAGGCUACGAUGUCUAGGGGUUCUGAGAGGAAGAUCCCCCACACUGGUACUGAGACACGGACCAGACUCCUACGGGAGGCAGCAGUGAGGAAUAUUGGUCAAUGGGCGAGAGCCUGAACCAGCCAUCCCGCGUGCAGGAAGAAUGCCCUAUGGGUUGUAAACUGCUUUUUCGCAUGAAGAACACUCCGGACGUGUCUGGAGCUGACGGUAAUGCGUGAAUAAGCACCGGCUAACUACGUGCCAGCAGCCGCGGUAAUACGUAGGGUGCGAGCGUUAAUCGGAAUUACUGGG
rnacentral:rRNA from 1 species